ACAUAAACGUUGAAAAGAUAAGUACAAUUUUAGGUCUUAACAAGAGAGCUCGUGGUUGGUGAAAGCGAGUAAGAUAUGUCGUUGGAAAAUGGUCUUGGAGUUUCAUGGAUACGAGCCAGCGCGUACUCAUAUGUACGGCGCAGUGAGUUGAAAUCGGUAGUGCUCGUUAACGCACAACGUAUAACCUGGAAGUUUUCACAGAUGUUCUCGACGAUUUCUAACGGGCGUACGUUAAGGUGUGGGCGCGAGAGCCCUGCAUGAACACCGGGUGGUAACACGUUAUUGAAGCGUCCCGUAA
rnacentral:misc_RNA from 1 species